rnacentral:rRNA from 1 species
GACGAACGCUGGCGGCGUGCUUAACACAUGCAAGUCGAACGGAAAGGCCCUGCUUUUGUGGGGUGCUCGAGUGGCGAACGGGUGAGUAACACGUGAGUAACCUGCCCCUGACUUUGGGAUAACUUCAGGAAACUGGGGCUAAUACCGGAUAGGAGCUCCUGCUGCAUGGUGGGGGUUGGAAAGUUUCGGCGGUUGGGGAUGGAAUCGCGGCGUAUCAGCUUGUUGGUGGGGUAGUGGCUUACCAAGGCUUUGAAGGGUAGCCGGCCUGGGAGGGUGACCUGCCACAUUGGGACUGGGAUACGGCCCAGACCCCUACGGUACGCAGAGGUGGGGAAUAUUGCACAAUGGGCUGAAGCCUGAUGCGACAACGCCGCGUGCGGUAUGACGGCCUGCGGGUUGUAUACCGCUUUCGCCUGUGACGAGGCGUGAGUGACGGUAAUGGGUGAAGAAGCACCGGCUAACUACGUG